CUUGAAUAUUAAGGCUGCGGCAGUACUUGGCUGGUUGGUUGGCGGAAGGUGUUGUGUCUGCUGUGGUGGUUCGCGCGGCCGGGGACUGUGUGCGCGUCCUCGCAGGACUGGCAGCUCUGGCCUGGCAGUGCCCCCCCCAGUGCCCAGUUUCACCCCCUAUGUGGACGAGCCAGCUGAGCCACAGAUGAUGUGAGUUGGAGUUUGGGAUGGGGAAUUGCAUCUGGGAUUCUCAAAGCUGCUUCCUGAAAUGGGACUUGUUUUAUGUAGGUUGGCUUCCCCCACUGGCUGCUGUUCCAUUUUUCUCUAUAUUUAUGAAUCUCUUCUUUGACAAAUCAGAAUACAAGUUGUUCAGCAGAUGGUGCCCAUGAGAAAAGUGCCCGUCAGCCUCUCUCUGUUCGUGAUGCUGUGGAUUCUCUGAGUGCCAAGGAAAGCACGGCAGCAGGAGCAGGAGCCUGUGAUGAGCUGAAUGGAAUUGAACGCUU